rnacentral:rRNA from 1 species
AACGAACGCUGGCGGCAUGCCUAACACAUGCAAGUCGAACGAGACCUUCGGGUCUAGUGGCGCACGGGUGCGUAACGCGUGGGAACCUGCCCUUAGGUUCGGAAUAACUCCCCGACAGGGGUGCUAAUACCGGAUAAUGUCUUCGGACCAAAGAUUUAUCGCCUCAGGAUGGGCCCGCGUUGGUUUCGCUAGUUGGUAGGGUAAAAGCCUACCAAGGCGACGAUCCAUAGAUGGUCUGAGAGGAGGAUCAGCCACAUUGGGACUGAGACACGGCCCAAACUCCUACGGGAGGAAGCAGUGGGGAAUAGUGGAAAAUGGGCGCAAGCAUGAUCCAGCCAUGCCGCGUGAGUGAUGAAGGCCUGAGGGUUGUAAAGCUCUUUCACCGAUGAAGAUAAUGACGGUAGUCGGAGAAGAAGCCCCGGCUAACUUCGUG